AUCGCUUCUCGGCCUUUUGGCUAAGAUCAAGUGUAGUAUCUGAUAGGUGUGGACAGCGUUGGGUGCUGGAAGGCAACUCCUCCUUUACCUCCU
rnacentral:snRNA from 1 species